UCAAACUUGGUCAUUUAGAGGAAGUAAAAGUCAUAACAAGGUUUCCGUAGGUGAACCUGCGGAAGGAUCAUUAAUAAUGCCCUCUGGCUUCGGUCAGCUGGGUUCAAUGUGUGUCAUCUCUUCGGAGAUGGCCAUCCACACACACCGUGAACUGUGACUUCGGUCAUCACAAACUUUUAGUAAUGAAUGUAAAAAUCAUAACAAAAUAAAACUUUUAACAACGGAUCUCUUGGCUCUCGCAUCGAUGAAGAACGCAGC
rnacentral:misc_RNA from 1 species